UUCUUUAUCAGCCCUGUAAAGUAAUUACAUACUCUAUGAUGAGGAAGUCUCUUUUAAAAAUGGGUAGCCACAAAAUUAGACUGUCUUAUGGUUUCUCAUGGAAAAGACAGGUGGGAAAAUCAUGUACAGAGCGUAGGCAAAGAUGUCAGAUCAGAGUGUGUCCUGCUUUCGUGAACCGUUCAUGGACAGUUCACGCUUUCGCCAUGAAGUUCUAUUAUACAUAUUUUAAAUUGUUUAUAGUAAGUUGAUAUUUUUUUAAUUUUUAAAUUUAAUAUAGCAAACUUAAAAUGACUUUAAACUUAUGAAACAAGUGUUUAUUUUCUUUGUGUCUGCUCUUUGAAGUAAUUAGCACAGCUGCAGAUCUCUAUGUAUAUCUACCUAUAUUUUUUUUAUUACUUGAGAGGAAGAACUUUAACUCGUCAGUGCUAGUGUCUGUGCCCUUGGAUUGCACGCUAGCUCCCCUGAAUCUGACUGGUGAGAGGGACUGAGGGAGGCAUGGUGUGAGCCCUGUGCAGGGAGUGCCAGGCAGGGCACCUGCGCCAUGCUCACCAGUCUCUUCUACUACGAAGAUGCGAAAGUACCCAGGGGAAAUAUCUCACAACCCAAAUAUCAGCGUGAGUCUCAUUGUGCUAUAUGAACACUUACAGAGGGGGUAUGACUGACAACGGACUCUCUAAAUCUUACCCAAAAUACUGGGUAUGAAACAAAUUGCACUAUAAAAUAUGUAUCUGAAAUAUGGUUUAAUGGGGUAGUCUGUUAAUAAUAUAUAUAGAGAGAAUCAAAGUAUUUUUGAAAGAAGAAUAAAUAGUAACGGUCUAAAAGUGCAUCCAGAGAGAAUUUCCCAUAUUGAGGAACUUAGUUUUUUCACUAAGCUUCAGGCUCUGAAGUUCAGGAAUCGAAAAUGUAAACUCUACUUAAUCAGACAAGAAACUCAAUGUUUAAGAACCAGUAGUAGUAAAUUGACUUCAAAUCCAUUUUUAGUUAUAUUAUUUCUAAAAUCACUUUCUUUGAAUAAUUUCUCAUAAGGAAAAAGCAUCCUUUGGCCUCUAGAAUUAAUUAUUCAUGUAUUUUCAGUGUAUGUAUAUACAUUUGCAAAGGUUGUCAUUUGUAAAGGAAGGCUAGCCAUUUUAACAAGAAGAGGAAAGGGGAGGCGGUCCCAAAUUUGAUGUUUAAAGCAAGUGGAGUCCAUGACGCUUGACCUGGGAUAUCUUAAGAGCCCGGAGACUCACCCGUUCAGCCGCAGGAGAGCUGCCUUUCGGUCCCUGCCCCCAUUGAGUAGCCAGGCUGCAGAGCUUUUGCCUCUGGCAAGUUGUGGAGAGCAUAAAAUGUGAAUCUUGAGUUCAGUUGGCUGAGGCUGAACUAACUUACUUGAAAACACUGGUGCUGUGCGCGCGCAUACCUACCCUAUGCGCGCGCAUACCUACCCUUUGCGCGCGCAUACCUACCGCUCCUGUCGAUCCACAUGGCCUCCCCGGCCUCACUGCUUCACGUUCCUCAAGUCACUGAGAAGUGUAUUCAGUCUCCCGAGACUGGGGAUGUUCAAGCGGAGGUCCUUGGCACUGGUAGUAAACAUGCCCUCUAACAGGAUUUGGGGUCUCAUCUGUGCUUUCUUCUUCCUUCCCUUAUGAGAGCAGUUUGCACUGCUGCCUCCAGUUUCCGUGAUGCACACUGUGUGGUUUGUUGGUUUCUACUGUCUGACAAGCGCAGAGAGGCAGAGCUAGUUCUUCGUACUCACUCGGAAACAGCAUGACUUCUGUCUCCCACCCUGCCCUCAGUUUUGUUCUCUGUCUCUAAAUAAAGUUGUAUUUUUCCUGCUUUUAAUCCCCAGGAAAUAUCAUUGUAUGAAGAUAAUUUUUAAAAAUAAUACCUGAACAUGGGCUAGAACUCAGUAAGUCCUGCUCCAAAGAAAACUAAAAUAAGGUUCGUCUUUUUGAAACAACUUAAUACAAGCUGGUUUUCAGUUUUUUUUUUAUUUACCGUACAUUUUGAAAAAUUAUGACCAACAGUGUUGGAUGUCCUUGCCCUCUACUCUUAGGUCUUUUCCAUUCUUAGUUUUGCUUAUGUCUAAAUUGUUGGAAAUAAACCAUGCUCUUGCUAAUAUAGUUUAAGACUCUUACUAGGUUUGAAUGUUACUCUGUGUAUGUACAUACUACUUUAAAUAAUCAACAUUUCCCUCCUGUUGCCAGAUGUCACAGUAUGUAGCUAUUCAUCUUCUGAUUUUGUUUUCCUUUCUAUUUUUUCUAACCUUUAAACCCCUGAAACUAUCAGUUAUUUUACUAUAAGGUUGUCUAGUAUGUCUUCCCAUUUUUGUACAUAGAGAAAUGACCCUGAAAAUGUUGGUUCAGCAUUUUAGGCAAUAAAUACUUAUUUUUACUU
rnacentral:lncRNA from 1 species